UACGGGGGGGCAAGCGUUGUUCGGAAUUAUUGGGCGUAAAGAGCUCGUAGGCGGUCUGUCGCGUCGGCUGUGAAAACCCGGGGCUCAACCCCGGGCCUGCAGUCGAUACGGGCAGACUAGAGUGCGGUAGGGGAGACUGGAAUUCCUGGUGUAGCGGUGAAAUGCGCAGAUAUCAGGAGGAACACCGAUGGCGAAGGCAGGUCACUGGGCCGCAACUGACGCUGAGGAGCGAAAGCAUGGGGAGCGAACAGG
rnacentral:rRNA from 1 species